CGUAUGGUACUUUGUUGGAUGAAAUGAUUCAUUCAUGCAGAGCAGCGAUGCGGCCCAAUAGAGGU
ncrna:unclassified sequences L31-Gammaproteobacteria ribosomal protein leader